rnacentral:lncRNA from 1 species
ACAGUCCCCUCUCCUGCUCCUGGUACAGGGUCACACACAGCCCCCUCUCCUGCUCCUGGUACAGGGUCACACACAGUCCCCUCUCCUGCUCCUGGUACAGGGUCACACACAGUCCCCUCUCCUGCUCCUGGUACAGGUCACACAGUCCCCUCCUCCUGCUCCUGGUACAGGGUCACACAGUCCCCUCUCCUGCUCCUGGUACAGGGUCACACAGUCCCCUCUCCUGCUCCUGGUACAGGGUCACACAGUCCCCUCUCCUGCUCCUGGUACAGGUCACACAGUCCCCUCUCCUGCUGCUGGUACAGGGUCACACAGUCACCUCCUCCUGCUCCUGGUACAGGGUCACACACAGUCCCCUCUCCUGCUCCUGGUACCGGUCACACAGUCCCCUCUCCUGCUCCUGGUACAGGUCACACAGUCCCCUCUCCUGCUCCUGGUACAGGUCACACAGUCCCCUCUCCUGCUCCCUGGCUGCUGAAUUUUAUACUGAACUUAAGGUCUCCUUUUUUGAAGUCUUCCAAAGAGCACUCCACAUCCACCCAUUUCCCAACAGGCUGGUGGCAAGACCUAAAAAGGACAUGAACUAGAAAAUAAAUCCCCUUGAGUCCACA